AUGUCCGAACUACUGGCAUUUGUCAAUCCUCGUGUUACAACAGCCAUGAAUGAAUCCUUAGAGAAGGAUUUUACUGUCGAGGAGGUGAAGAUAGCUUUAUUUCAAAUGGCUCCGUCCAAAGCACCCGGAAUUGAUGGAUUCACGACCGGUUUCUUUCAGAGGCACUGGUGCUUGUUAGGGGAAGAUGUGACGACGACUGUUUUGGAUUUUUUGAAUGGCGGGGAGCUUCCCUUAGGACUGAAUGAUACUGCCAUUACACUUAUUCCCAAGUAUACAUGCAAUGAAGAGGAAAAGGAAAGGAAAAAUGCUUCAUGUGCGGUAAAAUUAGAUAUGCUCAAAGCAUAUGACAGAGUUGAGUGGCAUUACCUUGAGGCCAUAAUGACCAGACUGGGCUUGUGUGAUUCAUUUGUCAGACUCAUUAUGAAGUGUGUUUCAUCAGUUAGGUUCUCGGUCAAGGUGAAUGGUGCACUCCUUCCGUUCUUUCAGCCAACUAAGGGACUUCGACAAGGGGAUCCGGUAUCUUCCUUUUUAUUUCUCAUAUGUGCUGAAGGUUUUACAUCCCUUCUGAAGAGCUAUGGUGGCCUGGUAGUUGAUCGUGGAAUACGUGUGUGA
rnacentral:rRNA from 1 species